AAGGCCUUUCGGGGUACACGAGCGGCGAACGGGUGAGUAACACGAUGGGUGAUCUGCCCUGCACUUCGGGAUAAGCCUGGGAAACUGGGUCUAAUACCGGAUAUGACCUCCUAUCGCAUGGUGGGUGGUGGAAAGAUUUAUCGGUGCAGGAUGGGCCCGCGGCCUAUCAGCUUGUUGGUGGGGUAAUGGCCUACCAAGGCGACGACGGGUAGCCGACCUGAGAGGGUGACCGGCCACACUGGGACUGAGACACGGCCCAGACUCCUACGGGAGGCAGCAGUGGGGAAUAUUGCACAAUGGGCGAAAGCCUGAUGCAGCGACGCCGCGUGAGGGACGACGGCCUUCGGGUUGUAAACCUCUUUCAGCAGGGACGAAGCGCAAGUGACGGUACCUGCAGAAGAAGCACCGGCUAACUACGUGCCAGCAGCCGCGGUAAUACGUAGGGUGCAAGCGUUGUCCGGAAUUACUGGGCGUAAAGAGUUCGUAGGCGGUUUGUCACGUCGUUUGUGAAAACUCACAGCUCAACUGUGAGCCUGCAGGCGAUACGGGCAGACUUGAGUACUGCAGGGGAGACUGGAAUUCCUGGUGUAGCGGUGAAAUGCGCAGAUAUCAGGAGGAACACCGGUGGCGAAGGCGGGUCUCUGGGCAGUAACUGACGCUGAGGAACGAAAGCGUGGGUAGCGAACAGGAUUAGAUACCCUGGUAGUCCACGCCGUAAACGGUGGGCGCUAGGUGUGGGUUCCUUCCAC
rnacentral:rRNA from 1 species